rnacentral:rRNA from 1 species
AUGGCACUCGCUCACCAUGCGGAUGCUACACCAUUUUUUUGCAAGACGCCGUGCUUCUUGUUUUGGCUUUGUUUUUUAUUUUUAGCCGGUUGCAGCUUUUUGAUUUGUCGGCCAGCUUUUUAUUUUGCCGGCUGUAGCAAUUUCAUCCACGAGCACCAAUCUUUGAUCUACAUCAUUGUUGAUGCAGCGCUGUUUAUUUCUACUCGACGCAUGGGAAUCGGUGUCGUGAUCAGGGACCACCGAGGAACCCGCUUGGCUAUGUGCAGCGAGCAUCUUAGUUGGUUCCAACAUUUUUUCCUGCCGGUUGUAGCUUUUCAUGUCGCUGGUUUCAACUUUUGA